rnacentral:rRNA from 1 species
UGCGAUCUCAACUCAAUACGGACUACCCCCC